AUCGCUUCUCGGCCUAUUGGCUAAGAUCAAAGUGUAGUAUCUGUUCUUAUCAGCUUAAUCUCUGAUAUGUGAUCUAUCGAUCACUUCGAGAUUAUCCUAUUUUUG
rfam:Onchocerca ochengi, WGS project CAWC01000000 data, contig: 08738_11362